rnacentral:tRNA from 1 species
GGGGGUAUAGUUCAGUGGCAGAGCAUGUGCUUGGUAUGCACAAAGUUCUGUGUUCGACCUACCGCCA